CGAGAGCCACUGAUAUAGUACUGGACAGUCUUCCGUAUGAACAAUCGUCCAUAGUAAUGCUGGAAUCUAUUUUUCCACUUGAGUUGGAUGAAAAUUGGUGUUAGGAUCUGCAUGCUAGCUUCAUACUGCACUUCCAGCUAAAGUUUCGGGUGACAAGGUGGGUGAAGAAGGAUCUGCUCAGUUAAAGCUCUCAACUGUUUCCCAAAUAAUGACAGAUGCAACCAUUAGUGGUCCUUUCAAAGGAUCCUUCACGAUUCAUGAGAUGAAUUCUCAGUGAAAGUUCUGUUUAAGAUUGAAGAAGAUACAAUGGGACACCAUUUUUGACUUUAGAGAGAAUACAUGUGGCAGACAAAUCGGGCCAUGAGAGGUGAGGAUGAAUACUUUUUAAGUACACGCAUUGUGGAGGUUUUAGAAUACUGAAAAUGACUUCGCGUGAUAUGGA